AUACGUAGGUGGCGAGCGUUGUUCGGAUUUAUUGGGCGUAAAGGGUCCGCAGGGGGUUUAUUAAGUCUGAUGUGAAAUCCCGAGGCUCAACCUCGGAACUGCAUUGGAUACUGGUAAACUAGAGUAUCGGAGAGGAAAGUGGAAUUCCAGGUGUAGCGGUGGAAUGCGUAGAUAUCUGGAAGAACACCAAGAGCGAAGGCAGCUUUCUGGACGAUUACUGACCCUCAGGGACGAAAGCGUGGGGAGCAAACAGGAUUAGAAACCCCGGUAGUCC
rnacentral:rRNA from 1 species